rnacentral:lncRNA from 1 species
UCGUUCAUGACGUCAUCAUCUCUUCACUUACACAAAGACAGCAGAUCUUUCUUAUCCCGCCAGAAAACCAAGAUUUUGGCUGUCCUGUCAAACCUUUAGAAAGAAAAACGAGCAAGACCCAACCACUGUGACCUGCUGUUGAUCAGGAACUUCAGGUGAGAAAUUGGGUCUGGAGGAUUAGAUUUCAUCGUGAACAAUGUAGAGGCGCCUCAGCUAUUUCUUUCUGUGAAUUGUUUUGCAGCUGAGAUCCUGUCUACUAGAGCACAGAAAAAUCAAGCAAGCUCUCUGAGCCUACAGCGGAUGCCCUUUGAACACUGAGAGACACACACAAACCCGUGGCACGUUCCUCAUGCAACAGCUCCCUCCAAUUUCAGAAGAGUCGAUGCUAGGAAGCACCUUGUAAGUGUCAGUGAAUGAGCAGCUCUGCCCUCAGUAGAUUUUUGUCUUAUCCUGUCCUGCUGGUUUUCCUAAAAAUUUACAUCGGCUUCAAAUAAUAUCUAUUUUG